CCUACGGGGGGCAGCAGUGAGGAAUAUUGGUCAAUGGGCGGAAGCCUGAACCAGCCAAGUAGCGUGCGGGAUGACGGCCCUACGGGUUGUAAACUGCGUUUAUACGGGAAUAACGCGCCUUACGUGUAGGGCUUUGCAUGUACCGUAUGAAUAAGGACCGGCUAAUCCAGUGUCAGCAGCCGCGGUAAUACGGAAGGUCCGGGCGUUACCCGGUUUUAUUGGGUUUAAAGGGAGCGUAGGCCGCAUGUCAAGCGUGCUGUGAAGUGUCCGGGCGCAACCCGGGCCUUGCAGCGCGAACUGGCGUGCUUGAGUCCGCGGAAAGCAGGCGGAAUUCGUCGUGUAGCGGUGAAAUGCUUAGAUAUGACGAAGAACCCCGAUUGCGAAGGCAGCUUGCUGCAGCGGAACUGACGCUGAUGCUCGAAAGCGCGGGUAUCGAACAGGAUUAGAUACCCCAGUAGUC
rnacentral:rRNA from 1 species